AGAGUUUGAUCAUGGCUCAGAAUGAACGCUGGCGGCAUGCCUAACACAUGCAAGUCGAACGAAGCCUUCGGGCUUAGUGGCGCACGGGUGCGUAACGCGUGGGAAUCUGCCCUUGGGUUCGGAAUAACAGUUAGAAAUGACUGCUAAUACCGAAUGAUGUCGUAAGACCAAAGAUUUAUCGCCCAGGGAUGAGCCCGCGUAGGAUUAGCUAGUUGGUGUGGUAAAGGCGCACCAAGGCGACGAUCCUUAGCUGGUCUGAGAGGAUGAUCAGCCACACUGGGACUGAGACACGGCCCAGACUCCUACGGGAGGCAGCAGUGGGGAAUAUUGGACAAUGGGCGAAAGCCUGAUCCAGCAAUGCCGCGUGAGUGAUGAAGGCCUUAGGGUUGUAAAGCUCUUUUACCCGGGAUGAUAAUGACAGUACCGGGAGAAUAAGCUCCGGCUAACUCCGUG
rnacentral:rRNA from 1 species